rnacentral:rRNA from 1 species
CCUACGGGCGGUAGCAGUGAGGAAUAUUGGUCAAUGGACGAGAGUCUGAACCAGCCAAGUAGCGUGAAGGAUGACUGCCCUAUGGGUUGUAAACUUCUUUUAUAUGGGAAUAAAAUGUUCCACGUGUGGGAUUUUGUAUGUACCAUAUGAAUAAGGAUCGGCUAACUCCGUGCCAGCAGCCGCGGUAAUACGGAGGAUCCGAGCGUUAUCCGGAUUUAUUGGGUUUAAAGGGAGCGUAGGUGGAUUGUUAAGUCAGUUGUGAAAGUUUGCGGCUCAACCGUAAAAUUGCAGUUGAAACUGGCAGUCUUGAGUACAGUAGAGGUGGGCGGAAUUCGUGGUGUAGCGGUGAAAUGCUUAGAUAUCACGAAGAACUCCGAUUGAGAAGGCAGUUCACUGGACUGCAACUGACACUGAGGCUCGAAAGUGUGGGUAUCAAACAGGAUUAGAUACCCUUGUAGUC